CCUACGGGAGGCAGCAGUGGGGAAUUUUGGACAAUGGGGGAAACCCUGAUCCAGCCAUCCCGCGUGUGCGACGAAGGCCUUCGGGUUGUAAAGCACUUUUGGCAGGAAAGAAACGCUCA
rnacentral:rRNA from 1 species